UACGGAGGGUGCAAGCGUUAUUCGGAAUUACUGGGCGUAAAGGGCGCGUAGGCGGCUUUUUAAGUCAGGCGUGAAAUACCGGGGCUAAACUCCGGAAGUGCGUUUGAAACUAGAAAGCUUGAGUACGGGAGAGGGAAGUGGAAUUCCUGGUGUAGAGGUGAAAUUCGUAGAUAUCAGGAGGAACACCGGUGGCGAAAGCGACUUCCUGGACCGAUACUGACGCUGAGGCGCGAAAGCGUGGGUAGCAAACAGG
rnacentral:rRNA from 1 species